rnacentral:rRNA from 1 species
UACGGAGGGGGCUAGCGUUGUUCGGAAUUACUGGGCGUAAAGCGCGCGUAGGCGGAUCUGCAAGUCGGGGGUGAAAUCCCGAGGCUCAACCUCGGAACUGCCUUCGAUACUGCGGGUCUCGAGUCCGGGAGAGGUGAGUGGAAUUCCUAGUGUAGAGGCGAAAUUCGUAGAUAUUAGGAAGAACACCAGUGGCGAAGGCGGCUCACUGGCCCCGGUACUGGACGCUGAGG